GUUAUUUUGGCAGAUUAGUGCAAUAGAUUUAGAAUCUUUUUAUAUAAAUUAGAUUUAUAGAUAAUACUUGAUUUU
rnacentral:tRNA from 1 species